GAUGAACGCUGGCGGCGUGCCUAAUACGUGCAAGUCGAGCGAACAGACGAGGAGCUUGCUCCUCUGACGUUAGCGGCGGACGGGUGAGUAACACGUGGAUAACCUACCUAUAAGACUGGGAUAACUUCGGGAAACCGGAGCUAAUACCGGAUAAUAUAUCGAACCGCAUGGUUCAAUAGUGAAAGACGGUUUUGCUGUCACUUAUAGAUGGAUCCGCGCCGCAUUAGCUAGUUGGUAAGGUAACGGCUUACCAAGGCAACGAUGCGUAGCCGACCUGAGAGGGUGAUCGGCCACACUGGAACUGAGACACGGUCCAGACUCCUACGGGAGGCAGCAGUAGGGAAUCUUCCGCAAUGGGCGAAAGCCUGACGGAGCAACGCCGCGUGAGUGAUGAAGGUCUUCGGAUCGUAAAACUCUGUUAUUAGGGAAGAACAAAUGUGUAAGUAACUAUGCACGUCUUGACGGUACCUAAUCAGAAAGCCACGGCUAACUACGUG
rnacentral:rRNA from 1 species